GACCAUGGGCGGCCCACUACCAGGCGGUUACAAACGUCGCCAUCAGUCCGUUGCCUCCCCGCCUAUAAAAGGGGGGACUCAGAUACGUUAUUGCUUAAGCUCUUUUGCCUUAUCUCAAAACUCUGCUAAACUCUCCAUUCGAGCACUCCAUUCUUGUUGAGGCAGAGAACUGACUUGAGCGUCGGAGGGUCUUGCCGGAGCAACCCC
rnacentral:lncRNA from 1 species